rfam:Myotis brandtii contig208328, whole genome shotgun sequence.
GGCGGUUCUUGUGUGAAGCACCCUGGAAUUGGUCUCCUUCCUCUCUGGUUCCAGGUGCAUCACCCGAGAACCGCA